rnacentral:snoRNA from 1 species
GUGCCCUUUCAGAACUAACACAGAGGUUCCAGAGCUUAACACAGCAGGGGAAAGUAAGUCUUGACAAAACCCAGAGAAGCAGUUGUCACCUCUGCUUUGGAACCUGUCUGAAGUCAUAGCU